rnacentral:tRNA from 2 species
GGGCCCAUAGCUCAGUUGGCAGAGCAGCGGACUCAUAAUCCGCGUGUCGCAGGUUCGAGUCCUGCUGGGCCCACCA